rnacentral:rRNA from 1 species
UAACGCGUGAGGAACCUGCCUCAAAGAGGGGGACAACAGUUGGAAACGACUGCUAAUACCGCAUAAGCCCACGGCUCGGCAUCGAGCAGAGGGAAAAGGAGCAAUCCGCUUUGAGAUGGCCUCGCGUCCGAUUAGCUAGUUGGUGAGGUAACGGCCCACCAAGGCGACGAUCGGUAGCCGGACUGAGAGGUUGAACGGCCACAUUGGGACUGAGACACGGCCCAGACUCCUACGGGAGGCAGCAGUGGGGAAUAUUGCACAAUGGGGGAAACCCUGAUGCAGCGACGCCGCGUGGAGGAAGAAGGUCUUCGGAUUGUAAACUCCUGUUGUUGAGGAAGAUGAUGACGGUACUCAACAAGGAAGUGACGGCUAACUACGUGCCAGCAGCCGCGGUAAAACGUAGGUCACAAGCGUUGUCCGGAAUUACUGGGUGUAAAGGGAGCGCAGGCGGGAAGACAAGUUGGAAGUGAAAUCCAUGGGCUCAACCCAUGAACUGCUUUCAAAACUGUUUUUCUUGAGUAGUGCAGAGGUAGGCGGAAUUCCCGGUGUAGCGGUGGAAUGCGUAGAUAUCGGGAGGAACACCAGUGGCGAAGGCGGCCUACUGGGCACCAACUGACGCUGAGGCUCGAAAGUGUGGGUAGCAAACAGGAUUAGAUACCCUGGUAGUCCACACUGUAAACGAUGAUUACUAGGUG